UAGCAUAUCAAUAAGCGGAGGAAAAGAAACCAACAGGGAUUGCCCCAGUAACGGCGAGUGAAGCGGCAACAGCUCAAAUUUGAAAUCUGGCCCCAGGCCCGAGUUGUAAUUUGCAGAGGAUGCUUUUGGCGCGGUGCCUUCCGAGUUCCCUGGAACGGGACGCCAUAGAGGGUGAGAGCCCCGUACGGUUGGACACCAAGCCUUUGUAAAGCUCCUUCGACGAGUCGAGUAGUUUGGGAAUGCUGCUCUAAAUGGGAGGUACAUUUCUUCUAAAGCUAAAUAUUGGCCAGAGACCGAUAGCGCACAAGUAGAGUGAUCGAAAGAUGAAAAGCACUUUGAAAAGAGGGUUAAACAGCACGUGAAAUUGUUAAAAGGGAAGCGCUUGUGACCAGACUUGCGUCCGGUGAAUCACCCAGCUCUCGCGGCUGGGGCACUUCGCCGGCACAGGCCAGCAUCAGCUUGCCGUCGGGGACAAAAGCUUCAGGAACGUAGCUCCUCUCGGGGAGUGUUAUAGCCUGUUGUAUAAUACCCUUCGGCGGGCUGAGGUACGCGCUCCGCAAGGAUGCUGGCGUAAUGGUCAUCAGCGACCCGUCUUGAAACACGGACCAAGGAGUCAACCUUAUGUGCGAGUGUUUGGGUGUUAAACCCCUACGCGUAAUGAAAGUGAACGCAGGUGAGAGCUUCGGCGCAUCAUCGACCGAUCCUGAUGUUCUCGGAUGGAUUUGAGUAAGAGCAUAUAGGGUUGGACCCGAAAGAAGGUGAACUAUGCGUGUGUAGGGUGAAGCCAGAGGAAACUCUGGUGGAGGCUCGCAGCGGUUCUGACGUGCAAAUCGAUCGUCAAACAUGCGCAUGGGGGGCGAAAGACUAAUCGAACCUUCUAGUAGCUGGUUUCCGCCGAAU
rnacentral:rRNA from 1 species